rnacentral:rRNA from 1 species
AUGGUUAACUCAUCGUCCACAUUAAUGGCGUAUGGUUCAGACUUCAGAGAGAACGUGCUGCUGAUGCUGCUGCAGGAGUUUUUAAGGUGUCUGAAUGUUCAUGUUUUUUUCCCUUUAAGAAGAAGGAGAAGAAGAAAUGAAUGUUUGUUGUUUUUUACCUGGUGGAUUUCAUCUGUUUGUUUCAUCAUCUGUGUGCUGACUGCUGAGAGGUACUGCAUAGAAGAAGAUACAGGGCAAGGGGCAGGGAUUCAGGAUGCACACAUGAGGAGGGUACGGUACACUGCAGACAAGACAAGGUGUACGUACGUGUGCAGCGAUCUGAGGCGAGAUGCGGAGGGUGGACACUGGACAGACCUUUGA